rnacentral:tRNA from 1 species
GCCGGUGUAGCUCAGUGGAUAGAGCGUCGGCCGGCACACUGAAAGGUCCCAGGUUCGAUUCCUGUCAUUGGCA